rnacentral:lncRNA from 1 species
GUGUGGAGCCAAUUAGCAGCCAUUUGCGGGAUGGCUGUGUUAGAGCUGCUGCUUUCUUACAAACCUCCUGAGGUUCCAUCUGCAUGGAGGAAUGUCCAUGUGGGUGUCACGUGUUUGGAGGAAGAGUUUCAGACCUUGCCCCCUGCUUGCAGCAGGAACUCCUUCUGUGUACAGCAGUGAGCGGAGCUGCAGAAGCUUUGCCGUUGUGCUUGAAAUGCAGGACGCUGGGCGGGGAGGAGGAGGUGCUGUACGCCGUGCAGAGCAGCUGUUCCUGCGCUCCCUGCGCGUCCACCAGCGGGCGCGUUGUGGGCAUCUCCGCAAUGCUGGGGUGAGGAGCAGCACCGCAGUGGGUGCAGGCAGCACUGGGGCUGGUUGCAGUUUGAAGGGCGCGGUGUGGGCUGCUGGAAGGAGCGCGUUUGGGGCUGGCUGAAGGCUGAGGAGCUCCCUCCCUGCUGGUCGGCUCCGGGAACAAAUCCCUUAGAGGGCUCUGCAUCGCAGUUCGGAGGAUGCCGUUAGGGGUGGUCCGCUCUCCAAAAAGUGCUCAGGUGCCUCUGGGACAGCUCUCCUCAGUUCGGGGAGAACAACGGCAACAAGGGAUAAUUUUUCAUUAUGGACAAAAGAGUUAUGAGGUACAAAUGAGUGCGCCCAAGAAGAUUAAUAAAUUACUCAGGAUUAGCGUCA